rnacentral:rRNA from 1 species
GACGAACGCUGGCGGCGUGCCUAAUACAUGCAAGUCGAGCGAAUCGAUGGGAGCUUGCUCCCUGAGAUUAGCGGCGGACGGGUGAGUAACACGUGGGUAACCUGCCUGUAAGACUGGGAUAACUUCGGGAAACCGGAGCUAAUACCGGAUACUUUCUUUUCUCGCAUGAGGGAAGAUGGAAAGAUGGUUCUGCUAUCACUUACAGAUGGACCCGCGGCGCAUUAGCUAGUUGGUGAGGUAACGGCUCACCAAGGCAACGAUGCGUAGCCGACCGGAGAGGGUGAUCGGCCACACUGGGACGGAGACACGGCCCAGACUCCUACGGGAGGCAGCAGUAGGGAAUCGUCCGCAAUGGACGAAAGUCUGACGGAGCAACGCCGCGUGAGCGAAGAAGGCCUUCGGGUCGUAAAGCUCUGUUGUUAGGGAAGAACAAGUACGAGAGUAACUGCUCGUACCUUGACGGUACCUAACCAGAAAGCCACGGCUAACUACGUGCCAGCCGCCGCGGUAAUAC